GAACGUGGGAUAAUUGAGAUUAUUUCUUUUUAAUAGCACAACAUCAGUAAACUCUACUAUUUCAUCAGGCCCCUCAAAUCUUAUAAUACCUGAAAUGUAUUUUCACCAUCUGGAACCAAGGGAGGCCAAAAUUGAAAUGAGAAACCAGGAAGAAAAAAAGUUAAUCACUGGAGACAACUUUAGACCGUUACCUGACUGGAGACGGCACCAGAGGAACCUAUGAAGCAAACUACUAACAGCCCUUUAUCUGCCAUUGAGUUCCCA